rnacentral:rRNA from 1 species
GAUGAACGCUGGCGGCGUACCUAAUACAUGCAAGUCGAGCGAACAGACGAGGAGCUUGCUCCUCUGACGUUAGCGGCGGACGGGUGAGUAACACGUGGAUAACCUACCUAUAAGACUGGGAUAACUUCGGGAAACCGGAGCUAAUACCGGAUAAUAUAUUGAACCGCAUGGUUCAAUAGUGAAAGACGGUUUUGCUGUCACUUAUAGAUGGAUCCGCGCCGCAUUAGCUAGUUGGUAAGAUAACGGCUUACCAAGGCAACGAUGCGUAGCCGACCUGAGAGGGUGAUCGGCCACACUGGAACUGAGACACGGUCCAGACUCCUACGGGAGGCAGCAGUAGGGAAUCUUCCGCAAUGGGCGAAAGCCUGACGGAGCAACGCCGCGUGAGUGAUGAAGGUCUUCGGAUCGUAAAACUCUGUUAUUAGGGAAGAACAAAUGUGUAAGUAACUAUGCACGUCUUGACGGUACCUAAUCAGAAAGCCACGGCUAACUACGUG